rnacentral:rRNA from 1 species
CCUACGGGUGGCAGCAGUGGGGAAUAUUGGGCAAUGGGCGCAAGCCUGACCCAGCAACGCCGCGUGAAGGAAGACGGCUUUCGGGUUGUAAACUUCUGUUAAGGGGGAAGCGCAGACGACGGUACCCCUUGAAUAAGCCACGGCUAACUACGUGCCAGCAGCCGCGGUACUACGUAGGUGGCAAGCGUUGCCCGGAUUUACUGGGUGUAAAGGGCGUGCAGCCGGAGAGACAAGUCAGAUGGGAAAUCCACGGGCUCAACCCGUGAACUGCAUUUGAAACUGUUUACCUUGAGGGUCGGAGAGGUAAUCGGAAUUCCUUGUGUAGCGGUGAAAUGCGUAGAUAUAAGGAAGAACACCAGGGGCGAAGGCGGAUUACUGGACGAUAACUGACGGUGAGGCGCGAAAGCGUGGGGAGCAAACAGGAUUAGAUACCCGGGUAGUC